CGGAGCCCAUCCUCGCUGCUCACCGGCUACCCCCGCGCAGCCUCCUUCUCACAGGCCGAUUCCCCUACAGCCGCCGCACUCCCGCGCCCGCCCCCGGUCGCACCCAUGCCAAAACCCUAGCGCUCCACUGCCGGCCGGCGUCGGCAACGAAGCAGGACGCCCUCGCCUGGCUUCUGCUCCUUCUCCGACCACCACGCGCGACAUGGACCCCCUCGUCGGUGGUCCGGUCCGGUGCUCUCCUCCACGGCUCCGACCCAUCCGCGCCGAGCUCACCCGGCCGUGCCCGCUGGGGAUGUUCACCUGGAAAUUCAUGUACUGAAUAUCAACCAAGGAUGGGCAGCGGCAUGGCGGCUAGACCACGGUGGAGCUGAUGCGGCCAGCCAACGAGCCAUGGCUCUGGGACCCUGACGGUCGGUCGGAUGCCGGUGUCCUUGGGGCCUCGAUCAUCUGCAAGUGCAAGGAUUUCAACCGGAAACAAGCUUGGGGUUGCCUCCAUCCAGUGGCGACAGGGCACCCUCCCCACGUUCUCCUCCGUCGCAGCAGGUUUUAACAAUGCCCUGGCUUCGUCCUCGACAGCAAGAAGGCCAUGAAAACGCUGAUACGAGCAAUUUACUUUUAUCUUGACUCCGCGUUGUUGUGUCCUAUGGAAACAGUCGCAAUUUAUAGCCAUCUCGUCAUCAACAAGUCUGGUCACAUAUAUAGUACAAAAGGACUAUGACUCGGCCAGGAGAAUGGACACCAACGACAGUCUACAAUUUGGCAUUUGAUGCAUGAUAUCUCUCAUCAGUUGUCCCCUACUACCAUUGGUUGGAAUGGAAUUGACAAUCUACGGGCCUGCAGCUUUGACCUCCACUUCUUCCAAUCUCUCGAAGGAAGAGAAAGGUUUGAUCUUUGGCGUCCAUGGCCAUAACAUAGCAACCGACUGGAACGCGUAGAGCUGAUGUGGUCAGCUGACAAGCCGUGGCCCUUGGACUCUCACCAACUCAGCCAUCCUCGGGCCCUGAACUAUCUGCGAGCGUUAGGAGUUCAAUUGCAAACUAGAUGUAGCUGGCCAACAAGCUGCGGCAAUGGGACCCUCGCUGGCUCCCUUGGAGCCUACACCAUCCGCAAGCACACCUGACUGUUGUGGAUGUCUCCGGCUCCGGCCGCAUUACCCGUCUCCAAGUCGGCACCCACCGCCAACUGUAGAUUUUAUGGGUAAUCUGUUGGUGGGAGACACAUAGGUUGAGUAGAAACAGCUCAUCAGCUGGUGCCGACCACAACCAUGCUCUUGCCGCCGCACCAUGUGCCCUCCUGCUUGCAACCCGGCGCGGUGCGCCUA